AUAUGAACAACGCAAAUUUAUAACGUUCCUUCUAAAAGCAUUCCUACGAGGUCGCCCUAGGUGGUCCAUGAAGUACGGAAAUCGUCUAUCGGAAUGGAGAUCAAAUUCAAUAUUAGGCCGAUUAUGGGUGCAGUGCCAGCCUGUGGCUCUCAAGAUGCUCGUGGUUGGGACUGCAAUGAUUGGCCGAACAC
rnacentral:sRNA from 1 species